UUUAAUAGAUGAACAGACAGAAUUUGUUGGGGCAGAUUUUCUAUGGCUCGAUACCUUUCCUGUUAUCAACACUCACUUGUUUUCUAGCAUGAUG